UGAUGAUAUUGUGCCUAUGUCUGGGAGCUUAGCGCUGAGACUUAGUCGCACUGCUCCUUGUGAAGGUGGGGGUGCUCGUCUUCUGAAGACUUAACUCUGCCAGUGGUUCAGCUAGGAUUGUGGUUGGUGUCUGCAUCGGACCAGACUGAGGAAGAUACGCUAAUGCUCUUAUUCUGUCUGAGUUUUCCUCAGGGGAGAGCCCUUUACAGUGUUAAAAACCAUAGGCCACGUCUGUGCUGUGUGGAAACUGAACAAGGUGGAGUCAAAACAGUUUAUUUUGUUCUCAUUUGAGAGAGAGGAGAAGGAAGAGAGGGAGAGAAUCCAUCUGAGAGAGAAACACCGAUCAGCUGCCCCCUGUAUGUGGGGAUCAAGCCUGCAACCUGGGCAUGUGCCAUAACCAGGAAUUGAAACAGUGAGUUUUCAGUUGCAGGACAGCACUCCAACCAGCUGAGCCACACCAGCCAGGGCAUACUAGGUAUUCUUUAGUUUUAAGCCCUGUGUGAGUAAAUAGCUGAAUGACAUUUCCUAGAUCCUAUCAAUAUUUUUCCCCUUGGGGGUUGGUGUAACAGAUGCCAUCAGCUCAUCCACCACCUAACCUCUCUCCUCCUCUCCUUCUGCAUCUUCUGCAACAGAGGCUGGAAAAUGAAAAGCUCUAUUUUUCAGGCUCCCUUGCAGCUGGAGGUGAGCAUGUGGCGUGGGUCUGGCCAAUGGAAUGUAAGCAGAAGUCUGUUGACAUUGCUUCUUUCUCCCCCUUUCUUCCAUCCUGCAAUGUGGACUAGAUAGCUGGAGUUUCAAAAGCCAUCUUGUGACAAGGAGGAAAGGGCCAGGAGAUUUUUACCAAGACCUUGGCCCUGGAUGGUUGAGAAUCUGGUAUUCUGUUACAUGUAGCAGAAAGCAGCCCUAGCUCACACAAGACUAAACGAGGAGCUGAAAGAGGAGAAUCUAGCAGAGACUCCGACGCCACCAUGACUGAACGUUUCCGGGAGAACUGCACGGAGCCAAUGCAGAAUCCAACCUGUAUAAUCAGGGAGAUUUUCCUUCACACCUUCGUCGUAACGCUCACCCUAAUUCUCCAUACAGUAUUGUGGCAUUAAAGCGAUGCUAGUGGCUACAGAA